UCCCGUAGGGGAACAGAAAAGUGAAUACUAACUACUAAAUGGAAGAAUGUUUGAUGCAUCCAAUCCAUGUGACGUUACUGAGAGAUGCAAGGUGCUCUAGCUGCUGUUUCCUCCAGUCGCCGUGCAACUUCCAUGCACCAACACUUGCUGGAUCUGGUAGCUGCCACUCAUUUGGGGGUUACACUUUCUUCUCCAUUUAGAUCAUAUUGACUAAAACUGAGCUGGUGGGGUGGAUGACUGAAGGGGCCAAGUAACAUUUGAAUAUCUUCAAUCUGAGUGCCUAAUUCAAAUGCUCCACUGAAAGCCAUUGUUCCCGGGAUUUGUAGCAGCCUCCUAGAAAUGGAUCUGGGGCUUUUGGUGUUACAGUGUAUUGAUUCUGAAGGUAUUUGGUCAACCUUCUAAGGUCCACAGGAGGUAAUCAUUCAAGAAAGAUGCUAUCAAUAAUACUUAUGAAAAAUUGAGUGUAAUGGUUGUCAGAUGCUGUUUUAUAACACCAGCAGAUAAAAACAGAAGUGUGUACUGCAUAGGCUUC